GGAAGCGCUGCGGCGUUGCCAUGGCGACCGCGGCACAGGCCGCGGCUCUGGUGGCGGUGGCCGCGCUGUGGGGCGGCAGCGGCCCCUUCCUGCGGGCGGCAGCGGCGGGCGUGGAGCAGCUGCGGGGCCGCGGCCGCCUGGGCCGGCUGCUGGCAGAGCUGCGCUUCCUCAGCCUCAACCGCCAGUACCUGGUGCCCUUCCUGCUGAACCAGGCUGGGUCCCUCCUCUUCUACCUCACCUUGGCCUCCACAGACCUGUCCCUGGCAGUCCCACUCUGCAACUCCCUGGCUUUGGUGGUGACCUUGGUGACUGGGAAAAUCCUGGGAGAGGACAUUGGUGGGAAAAGAGCUGUGGCAGGAAUGCUGCUCACCCUGCUGGGAGUGUCCCUGUGUGUGGCUGGGGCCUGAAGGAGAAGCAGAGCAGCAGAACCUGACCCAAGUUCUGCCUCUGAUCGUGCUCCAGGCUCAGUUAUGGGAUGGCAAAAUCCAUGGAUUGCAUUCCCUGAGCUCCAGGGGGGCACAGGCCAAGGGCAGCAGCUCUGUGCCCAAAGGGAUUUUUGGUUUCAGGACCACCAUGGUUAAAUUGUCUCAUUCAGCACUGGAGGGGUUCCCACCAGGAUUUAUGGAUCAGCAUUGUGACUCCACCUGGCAUCAUUUGGGAAAUCCCAAAGGUCCUGUCCUGGAGAAACCCACUGGACACCUCAGCCAUGGACCCACCUGGUUCUGCCCAGGAGAAAUCAGGAAGCCAGGCAGGAACAGGUUCAACAUCAGGAAAAGCUGUUGUAUUUUUUUAUUUCCAAACAAUAAAAAUAAUUCCAGAACAGAAGGAUUCACAUCUUGUGUCCACACAAGGGUCAGGGCAGGGAACCACAGCACCACGUGGGAAAUCCCUUUCUGAGGGACCUGGAACAUCCCUGAGCUGAAGGAAUUGACAAAGCACCAGGUCCUUUCCUGGCUCUGCCCCAGGAGAAAAUUCCCAGAGCCAGAGGAAAGGGAGGAGUGAUCCUCAUCCCAAGGAUCAGACAGGAAUGAGCCUCAUCCCAAGGAUCAGA